AUUGAACGCUGGCGGCAGGCCUAACACAUGCAAGUCGAACGAGUGGCGGACGGGUGAGUAAUGUCUGGGAAACUGCCUGAUGGAGGGGGAUAACUACUGGAAACGGUAGCUAAUACCGCAUACCAUCGGAUGUGCCCAGAUGGGAUUAGCUAGUAGGUGGGGUAAAGGCUCACCUAGGCGACGAUCCCUAGCUGGUCUGAGAGGAUGACCAGCCACACUGGAACUAGGACACGGUCCAGACGCCUACGGGAGGCAGCAGUGGGGAAUAUUGCACAAUGGGCGAAAGCCUGAUGCAGCCAUGCCGCGUGUAUGAAGAAGUCCUUCGGGUUGUAAAGUACUUUCAGCGGGGAGGCGUUACCCGCAGAAGAAGCACCGGCUAACUCCGUGCCAGCAGCCGCGGUAAUUC
rnacentral:rRNA from 1 species